CACGCAGUAAACGAUGAUUACUAGUUGUUUGCGAUACACAGUAAGCGACUGAGCGAAAGCAUUAAGUAAUCCACCUGGGGAGUACGUUCGCAAGAAUGAAACUCAAAGGAAUUGACGGGGGCCCGCACAAGCGGAGGAACAUGUGGUUUAAUUCGAUGAUACGCGAGGAACCUUACCCGGGCUUGAAAUGCAUUUGACCGGCAGAGAGAUCUGCCUUCUCUUCGGAGCAGAUGUGUAGGUGC
rnacentral:rRNA from 1 species